rnacentral:ncRNA from 2 species
AAAUCCUCAGGUGAUGGAGUUCACCGAGAACCGCCGGUCGCGAUCCUCGCCUUCGGCUGAUAACUCCUACCAGCGC